rnacentral:tRNA from 1 species
GCCGGGAUAUGGUAGAUUCCCGAAGGCAGAGUGGACUAUUGCGCGGGCCUUGAGUCCCAAAAAGACAGCCCGUGGCCGUUUUACGGCCUCGUCGGUUCGAAUCCGGCUCCCGGCG